UACGUAGGGUGCGAGCGUUAAUCGGAAUUACUAGGCGUAAAGCGUGCGCAGGCGGUUCGUUGUGUCCGAUGUGAAAGCCCCGAGCUCAACUUGGGAAUGGCAUUGGAAACUGGCGGGCUGGAGUGUGGCAGAGGGGGGUGGAAUUCCACGUGUAGCAGUGAAAUGCGUAGAGAUGUGGAGGAACACCGAUGGCGAAGGCAGCCCCCUGGGCCAACACUGACGCUCAGGCACGAAAGCGUGGGGAGCAAACAGG
rnacentral:rRNA from 1 species